UACGUAGGGGCCUAGCGUUGUCCGGAUUUAUUGGGCGUAAAGAGCUCGUAGGCGGUUCGGUAAGUCAGGUGUGAAAUCUCCACGCUCAACGUGGAGGCGCCACCUGAAACUGCCGUGACUCGAGUCCGGUAGGGGAGUGUGGAAUUCCCGGUGUAGCGGUGAAAUGCGCAGAUAUCGGGAAGAACACCCGUGGCGAAGGCGGCUCUCUGGGACGGUACUGACGCUGAGACGCGAAAGCGUGGGGAGCGAACAGG
rnacentral:rRNA from 1 species